rnacentral:rRNA from 1 species
GAUGAACGCUGGCGGUGUGCCUAAUACAUGCAAGUCGAGCGAACAGACGAGGAGCUUACUCCUCUGACGUUAGCGGCGGACGGGUGAGUAACACGUGGAUAACCUACCUAUAAGACUGGGAUAACUUCGGGAAACCGGAGCUAAUACCGGAUAACAUGUUGAACCGCAUGGUUCAACAGUGAAAGACGGUCUUGCUGUCACUUAUAGAUGGAUCCGCGUCGCAUUAGCUAGUUGGUAAGGUAACGGCUUACCAAGGCAACGAUGCGUAGCCGACCUGAGAGGGUGAUCGGCCACACUGGAACUGAGACACGGUCCAGGCUCCUACGGGAGGCAGCAGUAGGGAAUCUUCCGCAAUGGGCGAAAGCCUGACGGAGCAACGCCGCGUGAGUGAAGAAGGUCUUCGGAUCGUAAAACUCUGUUAUUAGGGAAGAACAAAUGUGUAAGUAACUAUGCACGUCUUGACGGUACCUAAUCAGAAAGCCACGGCUAACUACGUG